CACGGCUUCACGGGCAAAAAAGUGAAACAGACACUACUACCCUGGGGUAGUCUGCCUGUACCGAGUCAGAUGACUUGGGCUUGUGUUACGAAAGGCACACGACCACACUCUGCCUAUCGAAGUCCAUGUGCGAGUGGCAGAGGCGGAGCCUGUCAUCAGUGAGGACGUUCAGGGGAUGGGCCCGCACCGAAAAAAAGGAAAACAUUCGAAGAAGUGGUGCCUGUCUCCUUGCUUAGGUGAAAAAAAAAAAAAAGAAAAGAAACACCAAAAAACAGAAAGCAAAAGCGAUCCUUGAAAGCAAAGACACACAAAGGAUCAUUCACUACUCUUGCUUGUCCCCAAGCCUAGAAAGCGCAGGGACCUUGUUUAGGACGGUGGCCUGAGUGUGUGUGUCUCCUUCCAGAGGGGGCCACCCUGAGAAUCAAGGGAAGAUGCACUCAGUUCCUAUGGCCGUUAGCACGUCCGGGGCACCUCCCUUAAAAUAACACACUCCCUGGGGCGUCUGGGUGGCUCAGUCGGUUAAGUGGCUGACUCUCGGUUUCCGCUCAGGUCAGGAUCUCACGGUCCGUGAGUUCGAGCCCCAUGCAGGGCUCUGCACUGGUAACACAGAGCAUGCUGGGAUGCUUUCUCUCCUUGCCUCUCUCUCUCUGCCCCUCCCCUGCUCAUGCUCUCUCUUUCUCUCUCUCAAAAUAAAUAAAUAAACAAACAUAAUUUU